rnacentral:lncRNA from 1 species
ACAGAUUACCUUCAGUGGUUGGGGAGGAGUAGUUGGAUUUUCAACAGCAGGGAUCGACUGGAAUCCCCAUGUAAUAGGUGUGGUAUGUGUACUCUAUUUCUUCCCUCAUGGUGUCUAGGCACUGCUACACACCAGGCUGGAAGGAAGCAGAGGCCAGAAGAGAAUCCUUCUGGUCGCCAUCUGAGCCUGGAGCUAAGGCUGUUCCACAGCCCUCUCUACACAGGUUCCGCCAGAGAGAGCUGGUCUCCCAGGAGUGCUGACAGGGCUUGCAGGCCCACAGGAGGGACAAGCUCCAGCCAGAGACAGAAAGACCAACACCAGAAAUAACCAGAUGGCAAAAGGCAAGCGCAAGAACCUUACCAACAGAAACCAAGGCUACUUGGCAUCAGACCCCAGUUCUCCCAUCACAGCAAGUCCUGGAUACCUCAACACACCGGAAAAGCAAGAUAUGGAUUUAAAAAUCACAUCUCAUUAUGCUGAUAGAGGAUUUUAAGAAGGACAUAAAUAACUCCCUUAAAGAAGUACAGGAGAACACAAGUAAACAAAUAGAAGCUUUAAAGAGGAAACAAAAAUCCCUUAAAGAAUUUCAGGAAAACACAACUGAACAGAUGAAGGAAUUAAACAAAACCAUCCAGGAUCUAAAAAUGGAAGUAGAAACAAAAAGAAAUCACAAAGGGAGACAUCUCCCCGGAUUUUAAUGGAACAGCUCUCUUAGACAAUCUUAGUUUUCCAGAGGAUGGGCAACCCACACGGAGAUACAAGACCAUUUGAAAGAUGCCUGAUUGAAAGAUUGGAUUGAGCUGCCGAUUCCUGUGAGCUGUACUGCUGAUGUCCUGACAAUGCAGAUUGGAUUUGCUCCAAAGAACUAUUUCUAAACAGGUUCUUCUUUGCCCUAUUAAUCUUUCCUUCCCACUACCUCUGGUGUGGUGGGCUAGAAGGGACAUUAAAACAUUUAAGAACAACAACCCUCGAACUGUGAGGCUGUCAGCUUCAGACAAGAGAGACUAUUUACUUAAAUGGCCAAUUUUUGUUUAAAAUGGCCACUCAAAUUAAAAGGAAAAGUGAGGAUCUGGAGAGAGGCUCAGCAGUUAAGAACACUGACUGAUCUUCCAGAGGACCAGAGAUCAAUUCUUAGCAGCCACAUGGCGGCUCACAACCAUCUGUAACGGGCUCCCAUACCGUCUUCUGGUGUGUCUGAAGAUAGCUACAUUGUACUCAUUUAUUAUAAAAUAAAUAAAUAAAUCUGCUCUUCCGAA